GAUGAACGCUGGCGGCGUGCCUAAUACAUGCAAGUCGAGCGAACAGACGAGGAGCUUGCUCCUCUGACGUUAGCGGCGGACGGGUGAGUAACACGUGGAUAACCUACCUAUAAGACUGGGAUAACUUCGGGAAACCGGAGCUAAUACCGGAUAAUAUAUUGAACCGCAUGGUUCAAUAGUGAAAGACGGUUUUGCUGUCACUUAUAGAUGGAUCCGCGCCGCAUUAGCUAGUUGGUAAGGUAACGGCUUACCAAGGCAACGCUGCGUAGCCGACCUGAGAGCGUGAUCGGCCACACUGGAACUGAGACACGGUCCAGACUCCUACGGGAGGCAGCAGUAGGGAAUCUUCCGCAAUGGGCGAAAGACUGACGGAGCAACGCCGCGUGAGUGAUGAAGGUCUUCGGAUCGUAAAACGCUGUUAUUAGUGAAGAACAAAUGUGUAAGUAACUAUGCACGUCUUGACGGUACCUAAUCAGAAAGCCACGGCUAACUACGUG
rnacentral:rRNA from 1 species